GUCGGCGCUCGAAAAACAAUUUUUACAAGUGGUCCGCCUACAAAAAUUAUAUUUUUACAGGCGAAAAAAUACGUGGUCCGCCUAGAAAAAUCGUUCUAUAAAAUCUUCUUCCUUAUCUACUCUUACAGCCCCCAUCCUUAUCUUCUCAUCCACCCUCCCCCCACCACUCAUUUCCCCCUCUCCUCUCUCCCUAUCCUCUAUCUCCCUCGCGCGCAGCAGAGGUGAACGGCCGACGACAGCUCCGACGAGCGGCGGCGGCAGGGCAGGACAGCAGCGGCGACGGCUCCGACGAGCGGCGGUGGCUCCGCUCCUCGCCUCCUCGAGCGCCGACGAAUGACGACGACGCCUCCUUGAGCGGCAGCGGCUCCGACGAACGACGACGGCGCCGGCGGCUCCCCCCUCCUCGCCUCCUCGGGCGCCGGAUCCGCCGCCGGCUCCCCUCCUCGCCUCCUCGGGCGCCGGACGCCGACGAACGACGACGACGCCUCCUUGAGUGGCGGCGGCUCCGACGAACGACGACGGCGGCGGCUCCCCCCUCCUCGCCUCCUCGGGCGCCGAAUCCGCCGCCGGCUCUCCUCGCCGCUGGCCGGUCUCGGGGAGGGGAGGGGAGUGGAGGGGAGGGAAGGCGGCGACGAGGAGAGGAGACGCGACGAUGACGGCGCCGACGACGACGACGACGAUGGCGACGACGCGACGACGACGACGACGACGACGACGGCGACGACGCGAGUACGACGACGACUGCUGCGAUGACGGCGCUGACGCGACGACGACGACGGCGCCACCUAUGGAGGCCGGCGGAUGGACGACAACGGCGUUUUUUUUAAGUUUACAUGUUGAUUGAUGUUGAUUGAUGUUAGCUUGCAAGUUGAUGAUGUUGAUUUAUGAUUUGAAACCUAGGAUGGGUGGGGUGGGCUGGCGGGAAAUUUUUUUGUUGCGCGGUGAAUGUAGCGCCUGCAAAGAAUGAACUGCUGCAUGCGAAAAUUAUUUUUGCAGGCGGUGCUUUGGUCCAUCUAAAAAAAUUAAGGAUUUUUACAGUCGUUUAGGUACCUGCGGAAGGUUUGUCCGCCUACGAAAACGUGUUUUGACCGCCUGGAAAAACAUUUCUUCUAGUAGUGCGGUGAGUUCUUACUCGUGGUGAAUAAGAUCAGAGCUGCGAAUGCGAAGGUUGUCCAUGGCAGUACAGAAUGUAAUAACUCUCUGGAGGUGAAGAUGGCAACUCGGACUUUAAACUUGGAGAAGAUGCUGAUGAUGGUGUAAAUUAUGGAACUGGAAGGCUGUAAGGAUCUUUUUGUUGCAGGGGCGCUGAAGGAUCAAUUAUGCAUCUGCACUUCACUUCUUUCACUAUGCCUAAAAUAUUUAUUAAGCAUAGACUGUAGAAGCUAGGACUGUUUCGACUGAAAAGAAAAAGUGACAUUUGAUGUUCAUUGGAGAUUACAGUAAUUACUCCGCUGAGUAUAUUUUGUUUGUACGAUAAGAUAUUAUCAAAUUCCGUUGCUAUGUUUGAUGCUUC